rnacentral:rRNA from 1 species
UACAGAGGCCUCGAGCGUUAGGCGGAAUCACUGGGCUUAAAGCGUGUGUAGGUGGAUGCCUAAGUACCUUGUGAAAUCCCUCGGCUUAACUGAGGACGUGCGGGAGAUACUGAAGGGCUUGAGUCCGGAAGAGGGUGGUGGAAUUCCCAGUGUAGCGGUGAAAUGCGUAGAUAUUGGGAGGAACACCUGUGGCGAAAGCGGCGCACUGGACCAUAACUGACGCUGAUGCGCGAAAGCUAGGGGAGCAAACAGG